CUGCCAGAUUUGUUUUCAAAGCGUCUGACAAGCCACAUCCGAUUCAUCCUCAAAACUGAUUUGUCAGGGGAAUAAACAAGUGUCAGAACUUCCCAAGAAAUCUAGUGAUGAAAAGGCCUUUAACGAUGAACAAAUUAAAUUCAGUUCUCACGCCAAGCAACAGAAAGAAAGCGAAGUGAAAAGCCACAGAAGACAAGCACAGGUUUCCUCCCCUUUCUCCUGCUGGAUACAUGCAAAGGAUCGAGUGGAGGUCUCCGAGGCCCUGCAAGAUGGUACAGCCACACACGAAGCACCUGGGUCCCCCUUUAUGUUGGGCUGUGACAUGAGAAAGGAAGCAACAAGUCGACCAUCAUUUCUGCCAUUGAAGGAGAAUGUUACCUGAGACCACCCUUGGUCACAACUCUAAGAUAUCCCUCGGUCUCCCUGAGGUGCGCUGUGCAGAGAUUGGACAUCACAAGCUUCUCCCACAGCAGGUCUAAAGGAUGAAGGUACAAGCAGCUGAGUAUACAACCCAUGGACCAGUGCCGAAUGAAGUCACUACCUUGGGGGCCCAGGACUGUCAUCACUGUCCUUGCAAGUCCACGCUUCUGGACUCUUGUGUGGACACUGUGCACCUGCAGCAUCUGGCUGACGGCUCAGUAGACUACAACAGACUGGAUUCAAAUCCAGCUUGGCUGUGGGGCUGGACUUCUCUGAAACUCAGUGUCCUUGACUGUGAAAUGGGAGAGGAUAUAACCACUUCAAUGCAGCAGAUAGCAAAUUUUGAUGUGUACACAAAUCACCUGGAGAUCUUGUUAUGAUGCGGAUUCAGACUCAGUAAGUCUGGGACGAGGCCUGACAUCCUGUAUUGCUAAGAAGCUACCAGGUGAUACCCAUGCUGCUGUCUGGGAACCAAACUCCAAGCUGCAACACUGUGGGGCAUUCCAUGAGAUAACAAGAGAAAUCAAGGGAGAUCAUUAUUUAUGUUAAUAAGCAUUACAAGGAAAUUUAUUAAUAAUAGUUAUAGGUAGGAGAAUUCUGGUUAAAACACAUGAAGUUACCACCAACCAGGUUUAAAUUAGACUGUUUCUGGCCCUUCAUCCUUUUAUGGCAAGUUUUGUGAUUACAUGUGAAACCUCUUUCAAGACCCUCCUCAUAAGCCCUCAUGUAACUACAGAAGUCAAGGGCACAGUGAGAAGAUAUUUUAUUACCCAUGUAUUUAUGUAUGGGUUUUUGGGGUUUUAAAACUGGCAAUUAAAACCUUGUAAAUUUGUAUUAUCAACAAAAUAAAUGUAGACGGGUUAGUUACUCAUUGCUAAUAAAUUUGAUCAUUCAUUUAUAAAACGAA